GACGAACGCUGGCGGCGUGCUUAACACAUGCAAGUCGAACGGAAAGGCCCUGCUUUUGUGGGGUGCUCGAGUGGCGAACGGGUGAGUAACACGUGAGUAACCUGCCCUUGACUUUGGGAUAACUUCAGGAAACUGGGGCUAAUAUCGGAUAGGAGCUCCUGCUGCAUGGUGGGGGUUGGAAAGUUUCGGCGGUUGGGGAUGGACUCGCGGCUUAUCAGCUUGUUGGUGGGGUAGUGGCUUACCAAGGCUUUGACGGGUAGCCGGCCUGAGAGGGUGACCGGCCACAUUGGGACUGAGAUACGGACCAGACUCCUACGUGAGGCAGCAGUGGGGAAUAUUGCACAAUGGGCGGGAGCCUGAUGCAGCAACGCCGCGUGCGGGAUGACGGCCUUCGGGUUGUAAACCGCUUUCGCCUGUGACGAAGCGUGAGUGACGGUAAUGGGUAAAGAAGCACCGGCUAACUACGUG
rnacentral:rRNA from 1 species